rnacentral:rRNA from 1 species
CUACGGGGUGCAGCAGUGAGGAAUUUUGCGCAAUGGGCGAAAGCCUGACGCAGCAACGCCGCGUGGGUGAUGAAGGCCUUCGGGUCGUAAAGCUCUGUCAAGUGGGAAGAACCUAUGUAAUGUUAAUAUCAUUAUAUACUGACGGUACCACUGAAGGAAGCACCGGCUAGCUCCGUGCCAGCAGCCGCGGUAAUACGGGGGGUGCAAGCGUUAUUCGGAAUCAUUGGGCGUAAAGGGCACGUAGGCGGCCUGGUAAGUCAGAUGUGAAAGCCCGGGGCUUAACCCCGGAAGUGCAUUUGAUACUGUCAGGCUUGAGUAUGGGAGAGGGAAGUGGAAUUCCUGGUGUAGAGGUGAAAUUCGUAGAUAUCAGAAGGAACACCGGUGGCGAAGGCGACUUCCUGGACCAAUACUGACGCUGAGGUGCGAAGGCGUGGGUAGCAAACAGGAUUAGAUACCCCGGUAGUC